GUGGGGAAUAUUGGACAAUGGGCGAAAGCCUGAUCCAGCCAUGCCGCGUGUGUGAAGAAGGUCUUCGGAUUGUAAAGCACUUUAAGUUGGGAGGAAGGGCAGUAAGUUAAUACCUUGCUGUUUUGACGUUACCGACAGAAUAAGCACCGGCUAACUUCGUGCCAGCAGCCGCGGUAAUACGAAGGGUGCAAGCGUUAAUCGGAAUUACUGGUCGUAAAGCGCGCGUAGGUGGUUUUGUAAGUUGGAGGUGAAAUCCCCGGGCUCAACCUGGGAACUGCCUCCAAAACUGCAUGACUAGAGUACGGUAGAGGGUAGUGGAAUUUCCUGUGUAGCGGUGAAAUGCGUAGAUAUAGGAAGGAACACCAGUGGCGAAGGCGACUACCUGGACUGAUACUGACACUGAGGUGCGAAAGCGUGGGGAGCAAACAGGAUUAGAAACCCCUGUAGUCC
rnacentral:rRNA from 1 species